CUUCAAGAUAUAUUUAUCUUGGGCUUCUCUACAUGUAAGACAAGUUCCUUUUUGGUCUUGGUGCAGGGGUAGAAGUGGGAAAUCUUACCAAUAAGAGUAACUUUGUCAUUAUUAUAAACUCAGUUGUACAAAACAGUUGUUUUAGGAUCAGAGUUCAGGGCUAGAAGUAAUACAGAUAGUAAGUGAAAGGGAAUAAGAUGUUUGUGAGCCCCCUUUUAAGGAAGAUAAGAGACAAAACGGUAGUUGGAGUAAAAGAUUCUUCCUUGAAUCCAGAAUGUCUCCAUGCUUCUCCAGUGUGCUCUCAUUUUUGCUACCAUAUUUUAAUCCUUUUAGCAUGCAGUAAUUACAAGGGUCUUACUCAGCAUUAGCAACUGCGAACCAAAAGCAUAUUAUCUGCUUUUGCUGAAGGAGAAACUACUGUCUUAAUGAAGUUGGAGUUAAUGAGAUAAGCUAGAACUUAAUCCACGUGGAGCUUCAUAUGUGGAGGGCUUGGACAGGAGUAAAUGUUGUAAGUGACAAGAUGCUUUAUUUCUUAAGCCCUUUAAGAACACUAAUGUGUACAACAGAUAUAUUCCAUGUAGAGAUAGAAUGCAAACAAGGAAACUGGAGCACCUUGGAUUUUUUUUUUGCAACUGAACACCUUACAUGGCAUCUAACUAUAUGAACAGUGACACUUUUUUUUUUUCCUCAAGAUGGCAAACUUGACUUCCAGAUGUCAGAGGAAGAAGAUUCUUUCCUAAAUGUCAAAAGAUCUCUGAAAAAGCGACUGGUGAAACACAGCACUCCAGUGGACUCAAUGCUCUCCAGAACAAUGCCGUCUCUUACAGAUCUGACUUAUCAGUCAAUCAAGGAUCAAGAUGGCAGUAAGAGAGUUAACGUAUCCCCAGUGCAAAAAUCAGCUCUAAGCAGAUCAUUAGCUCAAGUGUCGCUAGCAAGUAUUGAAGCAUACAUCCCUCAUAAGUCUCCAAAAAGGCUUUCAACAGCGUUUGACUUGCAAGAUUCAAACAAGGAGAUAAACAAAAGUUCUCGGGUUGUAUUUUCUAGAAGAAGGCUUUCCACUGUGUUGGCCUCUAAUGAGUCAAAUGAAGAACCAAGUGAAAAGGCUAUCUCAAGUGUGGAAACUCAAGCUCCAACAAAUGCAUCUGAGAAGGUUGCAGUAACUCCCAGGAGUGGACCUUCAUGGCUGGUUACUGGAAUACCAGGGAUAAAAGAUGUCCAAAUAGUAAAAAAGAAAAAGAAGAAAAUUGAUAAAUCUAUUGUGAGAAAGAAACAAAGAGAAUGGGUGCUUCGUCAACUCAAAAACAUUGAGGAAGCAGCUGAGCAUGAGCUGACAAUUGAAGAAAUGUGACCAAAUAUCUUUGGAAUUAAUGCUGUUGCAUGGUACUUGUGUGAAUAACUGGUUCCAAUAAAUCACAUGCCUGGAUAAUCUGUAGUGCUUCC
rnacentral:lncRNA from 1 species